rnacentral:tRNA from 1 species
GCCUUCGUGGUGUAAUGAUAAGCACACUCGUCACGUAUUCGAGAGGUCCAGGUUCGAGUCCCAGCGAGGGUG